rnacentral:tRNA from 1 species
GGUAGCGUGGCCGAGUGGUCUCAGGCGCUGGUUUUAGGCACCAGUCUUUCGAGGCAUGGGUUCGAAUCCCACCGCUGCCA